ensembl:lncRNA
GUUUAUAUCAGCAUCCCACGUGAAUGUCAGAAAGCACUUACUUUCAAAGCACUGCUGUUGUACAAAUACGCUCUUGGUGCAGAAGCGCUCUGUCAGUGACAAGCAGCUCCUUGCCAAGAUGAGAGCAAACCUGGCAGAGGCUUCUUCCUCCUGUUCCACCCGGUUUUGCGCAAGUUUCUGACGGGCUUUUAGCCCUGAGUCUCUAACUAGAGUCAGCUGGCUGAUGCUGAAAUCGCUGUUGUUUAAGGUCAGCAAAGGCCUUGGUUUUAAUUCAGUUGUUUUUUGUGGUUUUUUUUUCUCCUUGAUUCUAAGCCUGUUUCUGUUGGGUUACUGCAUAACCGAGGCCUCUGACAAAGCACACAUCCCUAAGAUUGCUUUCUCUGGGAUGAGCUCAGUUUGAAAAGAAAGUUGCCAAGUUGCAGCAACAGCAUCUGCAUUCUGGGUUAAAAAAAACUGCUUAAUGAUUUCGGGUUCAACUGUGUCACUGAAGGCUUAAAGAAGCAUUUCUACAACAAAAACAGACGAUGCCAAACUCACACAAGUGGGUAAAAUUCAUGUCAUGCAGUAAACAGACCAUUCUUACUGUGGCUGUAACAUAAAUCAGGUGUAAAGGUACCAAACCUGAAAGGAUGAAACUCUGUUCUACCCACCACUUCAAAAGCUUAUGCUAUUGAAGAACAGGAGACCGUAAAAAUAAAAUUUUAAAAAAGAUGUUGAAUAUAAUAUGCUCAGUAAACAAAACAUGAAGACCUGACUGUGGCAUCCAUCGUCUCAAGCUGGAUGACCGGGCCAGAAACUCACUGUGGUAUAUGUGACACGGACAUAAAGGUAAACAAGUCUCUAAAGUUAGAAGAGAAAUGAUAGAAAAGAACUGUUCUCUGUUCAAAAUUGCACUGAAUGGUCUGUAUUUUUCUGACAAGAUGAUGCUGGUCUGAAGAAUAAUGAGCCCAUUUGCUUUUCUGAUGUUGCUUGCCAGGGAAAAGUAAAUCUCACUCUCUUGCUUUGCAGUUUACUUUGUGUUAGUUUGACAGGAUCUUUAAAGAAAUUAAAUGGAAAAUAAUUGAAUCCUCAUAUAAGGCUUUAUUGUCUCAGGGGAAAGAAAAGUUUUGCAUAACACAGCCUUACCUGAAAAUCAUUAAUUGCAGCUUAAAAAAGUUUUGAAAUGAACAAAACGGGUUUUUUUGGUUUUUGUUUUUUUUUU